rnacentral:rRNA from 1 species
UACAGAGGGUGCAAGCGUUGCUCGGAUUUACUGGGCGUAAAGCGUACGCAGACGGUGAGAAAGGUCGGAUGUGAAAGCCCCGGGCUCAACCCGGGAACUGCAUCCGAAACCAUCUCGCUAGAGUAUGAGAGAGGGAAGCAGAAUUCCUGGUGUAGAGGUGAAAUUCGUAGAUAUCAGGAGGAAUACCUGCGGCGAAGGCGGCUUCCUGGCUCAUUACUGACGUUCAGGUACGAAAGCGUGGGUAGCAAACAGG